GCCGAGAUGGUGGAAUGGCAGACACGCUAGCUUGAGGGGCUAGUGCCCGAUUAAGGGCGUGGGAGUUCAAAUCUCCCUCUCGGCACCA
rnacentral:tRNA from 1 species